rnacentral:tRNA from 1 species
GGGCUCGUGGUCUAGUUGGUUCAAGACGCCGCCCUUACACGGCGGAGGUCGCCGGUUCGAAUCCGGCCGUGCCCA